rfam:Parabacteroides sp. YL27, complete genome.
CACCACAUCAAAGUAGAUUGGGAAACUCAUCAAUUAAUAAUGAAAUACCGAGACAAGCUUAGCUGUCUGAUGGCGGGCCCCAUCCCUCUUUUUCGGAGAGUGGAGGUGUCUACGACACCAAGGCGGAUUACAAAGGAUGGCGAGCGCUCAAAUCCUGUCAUUCGGAGUUUCAUCGCAUUCCUUUGAUGUGGCACUUUAA